rnacentral:rRNA from 1 species
GAUUUCUGGCUUGAAACAUUUAGCCGGCCACGGUUUCGUGUGUUAGUGCUUGAUGUUCUGGCCAUCCUUCCAAUUGCUAUUCAUCUUUCUUCAUUGAUGGGUGAGUGGUAUUGGAUCUUUUACUUUGAAAAAAUUAGAGUGUUUCAAGCAGGCUUAAUGCUAUGAAUACAUUAGCAUGGAAUAAUAAUUUAGGACUUCGGUUCUAUUUUGUUGGUUUUCAGAACUGAAGUAAUGAUUGAUAGGGACAGUUGGGGAUGCUGAUAUUCAUUGGCCAGAGGUGAAAUUCUUGGAUUCAAUGAAGAUCAACUCAUGCGAAAGCAUU